UUUUCACCUAUCGAAAUAUAGAAUCUUCACAAGACACAACGAGACGCUAUUGGCAACAAAAUGUUUAUGAUGAAAAUGAUUACAUUAAUAACUAUUUUCUUAUUGAUUGGUCUCAAUGCUAGUGUAGACGCUGCUGAUUGUCCCGGCGCUGAAACUUGUUGGUGUCACCCCUCGCAGGGUACCGAGUGCAAUCCAGGCUUAGAAUGUGAUCUUGGACGUUAUUUCCAAGGAAAUUGCAUACCUAUACAGCCAGAUGAUAUUCUGGCAAUUGCAACAUAUGGAGGAUAAUUAUGAUCCGCCAAGAAACAGAUUUUAUUCGUCAAAAAAUGCGCUAAUUAUGCAUAAAUCGUACACGAAAAGAAAUUUUCUUUGAAAAUUACCGUUAAAUUCACUGGAAUCGUGGGACAUAAUGCGGCGCUUCUAUUUAUUACCAUUUUUGAAAUAAAAAUUACGAAAAAAUUUAUUUAUUUUGUAGUAGACUUCACAAAAUUUACCGAAAACCGAAUAAAAUUUACAGUAGACUACGGUAAAAUUUGUUGAAAAAAAGUUAAAAAUUAUCUCACUUACUGACAAAUGAUUAGGUCGUGCCAUUCGUCCCACGAUUACAGUGAAUUUGACGGUAAUUUUUAAAGAUAAUUUCUUUCCGUGUAGUGAAAAUUUUUUAAAUUAUAAUUAUUACCAUGUAUAUUAGCUGCACAUUCAAAUAAACUAUUAUCGUUCAAUUUAAGUCAACAA